rnacentral:pre_miRNA from 1 species
GUGGGGAGGCCGGAUCCUGGGCUGUGUCCCGGCGCCCUGUGCUCCCGCUCUGUGCUGUUGGAUUCGUGCUCCCGCCCCGCAGCCCCCU